UGUUAUACUCGGACGGUGGUUGUAGUGGCAAGAAAGCAAACGAGUGCCAACCAACAACCAUGGUCGGAGCGCAGGACGGUUUGACAAGAGGAUCAAAAAUCAAUGUUGCGAUUAUGAAAUAAGCAAACAAGUGUUUUUAAAGACAAAGAACCAUACUGAUACUGGACAUGGCAGUGCCAAACGGAAUUUGGAAAUUGACGAUGUGAUGGCUGGCUUCGACCCUUACACACCAAACAAAAGAAAAAUAAAUUGGAACAAAAUAUGGAUUUAAGUAAGUAGUUUUACAAUUAACAAAUAUCCAUGAGAAAAAUCGGGAUAGCGAGUCGAACGGGGACCCCACUCACGAUUGGAUACUAUUUUAAUCACUAAACCUCGAAAAAAAGAACUGAAACCUGAUAAAAUAAAAAUUGACCUUGUUGGGCCGAAAAAAAACUUUUUAGUCAAAUUUUCAUGUCCUUCACUUUUUGGCAUUUUUCCUCUUUCUCGACUCUUUUUCCACCCUUUUCACAUUUAAGGAUAUCUUUUCCCUUUUAUUGUCAUUUGGGUCCUUAUUUGCUUUCUUCUUAACUUAUUGCUCAUUGCUUCUGCCCUUUUAUUUACUUCUGUGCAGCAUGAUCAGAUGAAGGAUUAUAUCCUCAGCCAGACCCUUAUACAUUUUUUUAAAUUUAGGUUUUCAUUGGCUUUACCACGGACUUUUAGGGAUGUGGACUGCGAACGGAAGCAAACAAUUGUUAUCUCCUAAACCGUUCACUUUUUUCCAAAUGAGCACUUCAUACGACCACAAGAUUUUGGUAAAUAGAUGAACUUGGCCAAGGUUGGAGCUCAAAACCUUGCUUAGGGAACUCAGGGGAUUUGUCCAAAGUUAUGUUGUAAACACUACAUAAAAUCCGAAUUUUUGGCCUGCUUUUGGUCAGCUUUUGACAAUAUAACUUUGAAACGAACCACUUUACGAGUAAAUGGUCAAAAGUUACUUGCCUUUAAUUGAAGAGAUGUACAUUGCUUAUUUUAUCAUAUUGAUUCGAAAAAUGGCUCAGAGUCGCUAUGACCAAGACCAGGCCGAUUUGACUUGAAGCUUGUUAACAGUCCAUAUUUCUACAAGUGCGUGGCUUUACUAACCGCUGCAAAGAAUGUCAUUCCCGGCAUAAUCAAAGUGAAAUAUUAUGAUUUCUCUAGCUGUUGCCACUUCAACUUUAAACAAUAAUUGGUCUACCAACGAAUUAUAUAUAUACCAUUUUCAACGCCCUUGUUCUGGUUUGGAAGAGUCUACAAAAACGAGAGAACUUGCAAUCGAGCUACAUCUGCCAUUAUGGGCUAAAUCCGACCCACUAUCAUUUUGUGAACAAAAGCACGCUCAGCACCAAAAAAGUCGGCUUCAGAAGAGAAUCAAUUGUUUACUAUGACAUCUGUAUCAAUUGAAAAUGAGUCAAACAUUGCAAGAAAUAAAUGCUAAUUUCUUGUGACUUCAA